CUGGAACAGGUUGCCCAGAGAAGCUGUGGGUGCCCCAACCCUGGAAGUGUUCAAGGCUAGGCUGGAUGGAACUUUGAGCAGAAACUCUGUGGAAAAGGAGCAAAGACAAUCCAGAUGGCUGUGAAAGUGAAGACUAUGUGGGAAAUCAUGCAAGAGAUACAUUGCCUGCAGAAUGGGGAAAAACAUUAAAUCUUGGAGUUGCUGAUGCAGCAAUUAAUAUUGCAACCUUCACUGCCUUCAACGCACGGAAGAAAAGGACACAGACUCAUCUUCCAACCAGUCAGAAACUUUAACACCUACUCUUCAUUAUCCAGUAUUUAUACCGCCAGAUUGGACUUUCAUAUGGAAGCCUGGAGCAAUGCUGGUACAGAUGGCAAGAUGACUCUCAAGAGAUUGAUGACUCUGAAGAAAUACACAGUAUUAAGUCAGAAGGUGCAAAUGUUAACAUUCCAGUGUAGAAAAGAAAUAUUCCUUGCAUACGCUUCCCAGGUUUGUUUUCUCAUGCAUUACAAAGAGAAAGAAAAAGCCCUCGACACACCUCGUAGCUGGCAAACGAAUGAUAAAUUUACUUUAGUUUCUUUUGUAUGUCAACUGUUCAUGCCUCAGGUACUUAACCUUUACUUUAAAAACAUGGUUCAGAUCCUAGCCUUGAAGGUGGGUGGGAAGGGGGGGAUGGUAUUCCUGUAAAUGUUUCAUUUAACAAAGGCAGUACUAUAAGAAGGUUCAGUGGUGAGACUCUGAAUGGUAUUUAUUGUUUCAGAUUUCAGGGCUCCCAUACAUCUGCUGCCUGUCAAAGGCAGAUACCACAUUCAUAAAACAAGUGCCCUGUCUGAAGAAAAAAAAAGGAAAAAAAAAAAAGGACUCUCUUCUCUGUACCUCAGCCUCCAGGAUUAUGUGAGAUGGGAGGUUGCAAGAAGUAGAAGUUCUAAUUUGUCCUAAAGAAGAUCAACAAAAAAAAUCAACUUUUAUGAAAAAAAAAGUAAAUUUUACUUUUUUUUAAUAAAAUGGUUGUGGGCCCAGAUGCA
rnacentral:lncRNA from 1 species